CCUACGGGAGGCAGCAGUAGGGAAUAUUGCUCAAUGGGCGAAACCCUGAAGCAGCAACGCCGCGUGGAGGAUGAAGGUUUUCGGAUUGUAAACUCCUUUUGUUAGAGAAGAUAAUGACGGUAUCUAACGAAUAAUCACCGGCUAACUCCGUGCCAGCAGCCGCGGUAAUACGGAGGGUGCAGGCGUUACGCGGAGUGACUGGGCGUAAAGGGCGCGUAGGCGGGAUAGCAAGUCAGAUGUGAAAUCCUAUGGAUUAACCAUAGAAUUGCAUUUGAAACUGUUAUUCUAGAGGAUGGGAGAGGUAGGUGGAAUUCUUGGUGUAGGGGGAAAAUCCGUAGAGAUCAAGAGGAAUACUCAUUGCGAAGGCGACCUGCUAGAAUAUAACUGACGCUGAUGCGCGAAAGCGUGGGGAGCAAACAGGAUUAGAUACCCGAGUAGUC
rnacentral:rRNA from 1 species